AUGGUGCUGCUGGUUAGAGAGAAGGAGGCGGAGUGCAGUGCUGCUGGAGCUACGCUAGAGACAGGAGCAGUGAGGGAGAGGAAAAGGCGAGAGCGUUCUUGUCUUCUCCUCAGUAUCAGCAGAAUAAAAAUAGAGAGAGAGAAAGGAGUUGACACCUGCCAUAUGGAUACAAUAGUGGGUAGUGCAGUGAAUCUCUCGCCGGAGUCUGUAGACAGGCAGCUAUGGAGGGUCCCUGGCCUGGUGCUCUCUUCCCCGGAGGUACAGGAGAGAUGGAGAGAAGGAAAGCGGAAGAAAUGGAAAGAAAGAGCUCCACUGAGGUGAGGCAAGUGUGGUGUGAGGCAGACAGAGGGAGGCAGAGUGGCUCUAAUUGAUGGCCAUGGCUAAGGCUCUGGCUGCACUGUUAAUAACAUUACAGGGGCUAUGGACAUGGAAAGGUCACUUAGCACACUAAAUAUAUGACAUCCCUCUCCCUUUGACUCUACCUCUCCUCGGCACCCUCUGUGUUCUAUGGAUCAGCAGUCUCUUAAGCCACUGUAGGUGAGGGGCUGGUUGAAGGGGCAGACCAAGGGCUGUUGCUUGUCUUUGUAGUGAUAUCCAGUUCAGUGGUCUCUGUUCAGUGUGUUAAAUGAGGCAUGAGAGGACCAUUUAUCACCUACAGAGGAAAGAGUGUGGAGCUUUAUGUUCAUCAUCGGACUCCAUCACCAUCAUCGGCCAUCUAACAGAAUCUCUGACCACCUGUCUCCACUCGAGCCUCAACGGGACCCUCUCCAUCUUUGUACGAUGUAGCUUUCAGAGACUUGCCUCAGUUGGAAAACCUGUCAUGAUAUAUUGCUUGCUGGUUUUUUGCUCAAGUGCUUUGAGAUUCAACAAAAAAAGUUAAAUUAACCAGUAUUAUUAUUACAAUUGUUAUUAUGAUGUUAUAAAGAAACAAAUGUGGUUUUUCGUGAAAUGGAGGGAGCUGGUACGUCAGAGGUCAGAGAGGUCAUACUGUAGGAUCAAUUUAUGUUAU
rnacentral:lncRNA from 1 species